GCAAGUCGAGGGGUAACAUUGUAGCUUGCUACAGAUGACGACCGGCGCACGGGUGCGUAACGCGUAUGAAACCUGCCUUAUACUGGGGGAUAGCCCGAAGAAAUUCGGAUUAAUACCCCAUAACAUGGUUUAUUGGCAUCAAUAGAUUAUUAAAACUCCGGUGGUAUAAGAUGGUCAUGCGUGACAUUAGAUAGUUGGUGAGGUAACGGCUCACCAAGUCGACGAUGUCUAGGGGUUCUGAGAGGAAGGUC
rnacentral:rRNA from 1 species